GACGAACGCUGCCUGCGUGCUUAACACAUGCAAGUCGAACGGAAAGGCCCUGCUUUUGUGGGGUGCUCGAGUGGCGAACGGGUGAGUAACACGUGAGUAACCUGCCCUUGACUUUGGGAUAACUUCAGGAAACUGGGGCUAAUACCGGAUAGGAGCUCCUGCUGCAUGGUGGGGGUUGGAAAGUUUCGGCGGUUGGGGAUGGACUCGCGGCUUAUCAGCUUGUUGGUGGGGUAGUGGCUUACCAAGGCUUUGACGGGUAGCCGGCCUGAGAGGGUGACCGGCCACAUUGGGACUGAGAUACGGCCCAGACUCCUACGGGAGGCAGCAGUGGGGAAUAUUGCACAAUGGGCGGAAGCCUGAUGCAGCAACGCCGCGUGCGGGAUGACGGCCUUCGGGUUGUAAACCGCUUUCGCCUGUGACGAAGCGUGAGUGACGGUAAUGGGUAAAGAAGCACCGGCUAACUACGUGCCAGCAGCCGCGGUGAUACGUAGGGUGCGAGCGUUGUCCGGAUUUAUUGGGCGUAAAGGGCUCGUAGGUGGUUGAUCGCGUCGGAAGUGUAAUCUUGGGGCUUAACCCUGAGCGUGCUUUCGAUACGGGUUGACUUGAGGAAGGUAGGGGAGAAUGGAAUUCCUGGUGGAGCGGUGGAAUGCGCAGAUAUCAGGAGGAACACCAGUGGCGAAGGCGGUUCUCUGGGCCUUUCCUGACGCUGAGGAGCGAAAGCGUGGGGAGCGAACAGGCUUAGAUACCCUGGUAGUCCACGCUGUAAACGGUGGGUACUAGGUGUGGGGUCCAUUCCACGGGUUCCGUGCCGUAGCUAACGCUUUAAGUACCCCGCCUGGGGAGUACGGCCGCAAGGCUAAAACUCAAAGGAAUUGACGGGGCCCCGCACAAGCGGCGGAGCAUGCGGAUUAAUUCGAUGCAACGCGUAGAACCUUACCUGGGUUUGACAUGGAUCGGGAGUGCUCAGAGAUGGGUGUGCCUCUUUUGGGGUCGGUUCACAGGUGGUGCAUGCCUGUCGUCAGCUCGUGUCGUGAGAUGUUGGGUUAAGUCCCGCAACGAGCGCAACCCUUGUUCACUGUUGCCAGCACGUUAUGGUGGGGACUCAGUGGAGACCGCCGGGGUCAACUCGGAGGAAGGUGGGGAUGACGUCAAGUCAUCAUGCCCCUUAUGUCCAGGGCUUCACGCAUGCUACAAUGGCUGGUACAGAGAGUGGCGAGCCUGUGAGGGUGAGCGAAUCUCGGAAAGCCGGUCUCAGUUCGGAUUGGGGUCUGCAACUCGACCUCAUGAAGUCGGAGUCGCUAGUAAUCGCAGAUCAGCAACGCUGCGGUGAAUACGUUCCCAGGGCU
rnacentral:rRNA from 1 species